rnacentral:lncRNA from 1 species
GACAAUAUUGUAAUCAUACUUAAGACACUAAUUAUUCAUAAAAAAGUGUUUCAAGCCAACCCAAUCCGACCUGUUUUUGCUCGGUAUUCGGGCCUUCUACAUCUACAUGUUCGUUUUUCCAUUGUGGCUUUUUAUUGUAUUCAUGUAUGUUAGUUCAAAUCUGUAACAAUCCUCAGCCCUCGUGGAGCUAACUGAAGCUGAAACAUAAUAUGCAGUAAAUGAUAUGAAGCAGUUACGGGAUAUAUGCUUCUGAAGCGGAACCAAGUCAUCGAAUGCCCUUCCAUAUGAUACAUCUGGUCAAACCUUAUGGCACUUGAGAAACCAUAAGGGGCCCCACCUAAGCUGUUGGCAGAUUUUCUAACGCCUUGAAGUUUAUCGUCGAAGAGGUAAUAAUUCUCAUCUCAUGUUAUUACAGAGUACUAGAGUCGGCAAAUUUGACCCAAACUAUUCGAUCGGUUGAUUUAGGUUACAUUUGCCAAAUGGUCCAAUUGGUAUUUUUAGUAUGUAAAAUGUUCUAAAACGUUUUUCUUAAUAAAAUUAGGGUAUUAAUUGAGAUAAUAUAAAUGCUGUAAUCGUAUUGGACAAAGUGGUUCAUUUCGAUCUUGUUACCUGACUUGUCCGACGUGCCAAUUUCCACCUUUGUUAAUAUCAUACCAUGACUUCCGUUGAACUCCUACAUGACUGUAUAAGUCCCUAGACUUCAUUUUAACAUGAUUAUUUCCAUCUAAAAAAAUCUCUGGACUUUAUUUUUUUAACAAAUUUAUUCUUUUUUUUUGCGUGUUGAAGUCUAUAAACCAUAGUUAUUAAAGGCGCGAAGCGCACUCUAGGCGCAUAGGCUCCGAUUAGGGCCUAGGCGAUAGGCGCAAAAAAAGCGUGGGCCCGAGAAAAAAAAAGCGCAAUUAAAUAAAAAAAUUAAAAAGUUUAUUAAGGGAAUAAAGUACUCAAAACCAAAACAAUAAUGUUCAUACUAGCACUUAAAAGGUCUCAGAUAACAAAAUACUUAAAACCAAAAUGUUUAUAGCACUUAAAAAGUAUAAGAUAACAAAAUACUUGGAAACCAAAUCAGAAAUAAUAAGCUGAUAAU